rnacentral:lncRNA from 1 species
AUUUUGCCUGCUUUGUGGGGUGAUGAAGGUAGAAGAAUUAAAAAUAUGAAGGACUUUGAAUAAUUUCUUAUGCAUAAUAAUCACCCAAUACUUUUUAGAUAGUGUUUUGACUCUAUCAUGAAGGAGAUCAUGAUCUCUCACAUAGGUUUUGGUGAUGCACUCUAGUUUAAGAUAGGUGUUAUGACCUCUCCCCAAUAUUCACUCAAUUAUCAGUUGAAGAAACCAAGGGCCAGAGAUUUCCAGCUAUUUGCUUGAGGUCUCAGAGCUAAGAAACUGGCAGGACUAUGACAAGGUCUAGGAUCCUCAGCUCCUCCUCUGGUGGUCUGCCUUCUCAAGCCUGAGCUCUGGGCUUCUAGGUUGUAUCUGUGGCCCUAAGGUGCCAAGGCCUUCCUUUUUAAAGGAACUGACCUAACACAUUAAAUGCAACGAGUCAUUUCUGUGCCCAGACCCUAUAAGGAAAGGGAAAUGCACUGGUGGGCAAGUCAGAGGAGGGAUCUGAGAAGCUGUACGGAACAAAUGAAGGUCAUUCCAGCCCUGCUGGCUUGUCCUUGUCUCCUGUCUUCUCAUUUUUCACAGCAGGACCUUGACAAGUGGGUAGCAAGAUCAGUACCUGCCGCAGCAGUGAGUAUGAUUGGAAGAUUUCUACCUGAACCUUCCUCUUCCACCUAACAUGUUCAAAAUAAUCGCCCACCAGGUUGUCAAACCCAUUGUUUGAGAUACUUCUUUGUGAUAAAGCAUUGUCCUUCCCACAUCUUGUCCGUGGGGCAGGAGAAUGUUCUCAGACCCAUUUUUGAAAACUGACCCUCCCUAUUGUUGACUUUCCUUCAUACUAUCUGCCAAGCAAUCCUACAGAGCCAAAGAAAAGGGGGCUCAUAUUUUACUCUGGGCAGACUUUAUGUUCCAGGGAUGGCUAAUGUUUUGCAUAUAUCAUAUCAUUUAACAUUAUGUGUGUGGAGACCACAUGUAAGAAGUAUUAUUUCUUCUUGAUGCAUAAGAAAACAAAUUCAGAAAGCCUCAAGGGCUUGCCAGAAGUUACUCAGCCAUUCUGAUGGAUCUAAAAUUCAAACACAGGCUUGUCCAGUUCUGAAGUCUCUGCUUUUUCUGUGACACUCAAAAUUGUGAUGUCAUUAGCUUAGCAAUGUGACUUUUUGUGUGAUCAUUCCUCUCCUCUUCUGUGUUAUUGGGGUACUCUUGAUGGUACAGUUGAAAUCCCCUUUGCUAGACUUUGAGCCUAUUUCCUUGAAUCUAGGGAAUCCAUGCUUAGAGUUUGGAAAUCUGCUUUAUUGGAGUUGAAAAUGCAUGUGGAUUCAAGCUAGAGGGCCUAUUCCAUUUUCACUCCAAUAUGAAACCAGUUUCCAAACCAGUUACCAAAACUCAAGUCACAUGUGAAGACCAUCAGUGAUUCUGUACCACUUAGCCCUGAGGUGGGUCCCAAGGAGCAAGUCUUGAGUGCAAAAUGGUCAAGAAAAAACAUAUGUAUCAAUGCUCCUUUCAGCACCAAGAGGCUUCUGGGGCAUCUGCUAUGGCUCGACCCUGUGCCAGUUCUGGAGUUCCCACACAUGAAUAGGCUCCUUCUCACGACACUCUCACCUCCUCGUCAUUUAACCACAGCUCAAGUGCUUGACCUCAUCCUUCCACUCAUACUAUGAAGAUGUCCCGGUUCUCAAGAAUCUGAGUUCCUCAACCUUCUUCUUUUCCUUAUACGUCUUCCUAUCUUCCUUUUCUCUGCCCCUUCCUUCUCCUCCUCCUCACCUCUCCCUUCAUUUCCUCCUUUCUCCUCUCCUCCUUCUUUUUCUGUAUAUCUCUUUCUACUCUCAUAUUACAGUCAUGCAACUUAGUCCACCAAAACUUUGAGGUAGUUUUUGACUUCAGCCUUGAGUUUUCUUGAUGUCCUAUUGCCACAUCGGAAGCCAUACAUGACAUUUGGGACAGUCUUCUCUUGCCUACCGUGAAUAUCUAACAUGCGGGCUCACAAUAGCAUAAAUCUUAUAAAGCUGAGCUUAGGGGAAGGCAAAUUAACAGGAACUGAGUCCCAGCCAUGUGUCAG